GGCCCUGUCGUCUAGCCCGGUCAGGACAUAGGCUUUUCAUGCCUGUAACACGAGUUCAAAUCUCGUCGGGGUCA
rnacentral:tRNA from 1 species